CGAAAGCCUGACGGAGCAAUACCGCGUGAGGGAGGAAGGCUCUUGAGUUGUAAACCUCUUUUCUCAAGGAAUAAGAAAGUGAAGGUACUUGAGGAAUCAGCAUCGGCUAACUCCGUGCCAGCAGCCGCGGUAAUACGGAGGAUGCAAGCGUUAUCCGGAAUGAUUGGGCGUAAAGCGUCCGCAGGUGGCUGUGUAAGUCUGCUGUUAAAGAGCAAAGCUUAACUUUGUAAAAGCAGUGGAAACUACACGGCUAGAGUGCGUUCAGGGCAGAGGGAAUUCCUGGUGUAGCGGUGAAAUGCGUAGAGAUCAGGAAGAACACCGGUGGCGAAGGCGCUCUGCUAGGCCGCAACUGACACUGAGGGACGAAAGCUAGGGGAGCG
rnacentral:rRNA from 1 species